GUCCAAAAUCUCUCAUGUAGCAGUUAGUGCAGUAUGGCUUCUCAUCGUGCUGCAAAGACAUGUAAAAACAGUGACAUUAAAAGGCAACAUAUACUGAAUAGUACAGGGGU